UCCGAGUUGUAAUCUAGAGAAGUGUUACCCGUGCUGGACCGUGUAUAAGUCUCCUGGAAUGGAGCGUCAUAGAGGGUGAGAAUCCCGUCUUUGACACGGACUACCAGUGCUUUUGUGGUGCGCUCUCAAAGAGUCGAGUUGUUUGGGAAUGCAGCUCAAAAUGGGUGGUAAAUUCCAUCUAAAGCUAAAUAUUGGCGAGAGACCGAUAGCGAACAAGUACCGUGAGGGAAAGAUGAAAAGAACUUUGGAAAGAGAGUUAAACAGUACGUGAAAUUGCUGAAAGGGAAACGCUUGAAGUCAGUCGCGUUGGCCRGAAAUCAACCUUGCUUCUGUUGGGUGUACUUUCUGGUUGACGGGCCAGCAUCAGUUUUGACCGGUGGAAAAAGGUCAAGGGAAUGUGGCAUCUUCGGAUGUGUUAUAGCCCUUGGUCGUAUACAUCGGUUGGGACUGAGGAAUUCAGCACGCCGAAAGGCCGGGUCUUUGACCACGUUCGUGCUUAGGAUGCUGGCAUAAUGGCUUUAAUCGACCCGUCUUGAAACACGGACCAAGGAGUCUAACAUGCCUGCGAGUAUUUGGGUGCAAAACCCGGAUGCGCAAUGAAAGUGAAAGUUGGGAUCCUUGUCAUGGGGAGCACUGACGCCCGGACCUGAAGUUUUCUGACGGCCCCGCGGUAGAGCAUGUAUGUUGGGACCCGAAAGAUGGUGAACUAUGCCUGAAUAGGGUGAAGCCAGAGGAAACUCUGGUGGAGGCUCGUAGCGAUUCUGACGUGCAAAUCGAUCGUCGAAUUUGGGUAUAGGG
rnacentral:rRNA from 1 species